rnacentral:misc_RNA from 1 species
UUGAACGGUGAGAGAAGUAGUAAUAUAGUUUGAUUCAGAGAGCCUGCGGACGGUGAGAGCAGGUGAGAAUAAUAUUGCGAAUACACUCAUCAGAAAGUUCAGAUCGUAAUAGAUGACGUAUAUUCUAAUUUAGAGAUAAAUUGUUUGGUGGUACCGUGUCACGCACCCAUACU